rnacentral:miRNA from 1 species
AUUUAGCGAGCUGAGUGGGGAGGAGAGAGGGACAGAGAGCCUGCUUGCUUUAAAGGAGCCAACUGGACAGUGUAACUGGACAGAGCCAACAAGAGUGUAAGCGGCUCCUCUCCUCUCCCGCUUUGCUCCUUUAAAGAAGCAGGCUCUCUGUCCCUCUCUCCUCCCCACUCAGCGGCUCUUCUC